rnacentral:rRNA from 1 species
GUCCAUGCCGUAAACGAUGUCUACUAGCCGUUGGGGCCUUUGAGGCUUUAGUGGCGCAGCUAACGCGAUAAGUAGACCGCCUGGGGAGUACGGUCGCAAGACUAAAACUCAAAAUGAAUUGACGGGGGGCCCGCACAAGCGGUGGAGCACGUGGUUUAAUUCGAUGCAAACCGAAGAACCUUACCUGGGUUUGACAUACACGUGGUAUUGAAGUGAAAGCGGAUAGACUCUAGCUUGCUAGAGAGCGUGAACAGGUGCUGCAUGGCUGUCGU